AAAGACAACAUGUCCAUUAUGCGUGCACGUAGUACUAUUUAUCCUAACACGCAGAAACACAUUGGCAGUGUCACCUUGACGGUGGUUAUUUGGUGGAUGAUUCCGGCGUCCGUCGUCUGCGGGAUGCUUCACCCUGCAUGCUAACGAUGAGCUGACGAUUCAAAAUCAGUGGACUUUCGUUCCCGCGAGCAGCAGCCGCCGAAUGCGCUGGACGAGCGGACGGCCUCGACGACCACCCUGACGUCUAUCGAUGACGCAACCGUUUCGUUCCUCUUCAAAGUGAAGCUCUUUCCGUUCCGGUUUA